GAUGAACGCUGGCGGCGUGCCUAAUACAUGCAAGUCGAGCGAACGGACGAGAAGCUUGCUUCUCUGAUGUUAGCGGCGGACGGGUGAGUAACACGUGGAUAACCUACCUAUAAGACUGGGAUAACUUCGGGAAACCGGAGCUAAUACCGGAUAAUAUUUUGAACCGCAUGGUUCAAAAGUGAAAGACGGUCUUGCUGUCACUUAUAGAUGGAUCCGCGCUGCAUUAGCUAGUUGGUAAGGUAACGGCUUACCAAGGCAACGACGCAUAGCCGACCUGAGAGGGUGAUCGGCCACACUGGAACUGAGACACGGUCCAGACUCCUACGGGAGGCAGCAGUAGGGAAUCUUCCGCAAUGGGCGAAAGCCUGACGGAGCAACGCCGCGUGAGCGAUGAAGGUCUUCGGAUCGUAAAACUCUGUUAUUAGGGAAGAACAUAUGUGUAAGUAACUGUGCACAUCUUGACGGUACCUAAUCAGAAAGCCACGGCUAACUACGUG
rnacentral:rRNA from 1 species